rnacentral:lncRNA from 1 species
GGUCAAUAGAAUCCCUGUCCUAAUUAAUGUUAACAUCUGCUCAAUGUGGUUAUUUACUUAAAUGCAAAGUCUGCAUUAAUUUAUCUUGUUCUGAAUGGCCCCAUAUUUAUUAGUAAGGUGGAUUUGCAGGUUUUAACUUUUAAACCUCAAAUUCCUGCUUUUAAAUUCCCAUUUAGAAAGCUUCAAAAGAAUGACAAGUCACUUAGUGCAGUUACUAGAAUCAUUUUUGAGGACCCAUAAUCAGCAUCUACUUUGAAUAACAAUUGAAAGAGCUAAGAGGAAUUACUUCAUUCAUCUUCAAACAAGGCUACAUGGAAAGAGCAGAGGAAGACUGAGCAGUUCGUAGUGCACACACGAUACAUACCAAAGUAAGAUUGCAGUAUGCUACAUCUAGCACACUUAUUUAUGGCUCGCUAGCAGAAAACCAAAACACCAUCUAAGCAUAACAGGCUCACAAACUCGGUCUAGUUAUUACAACCAUGCAUGAGUAAAAUCAUGGACGAAUUGGUGCUGGAACACUGCCACCACCUCCAGGAAUGGGAACCUCAUAGCCAGGGUUAGGAACAAAGGUGUCAUCACCACCGGGAACAUAACUGCGUCCUGGUCGACCCGAUCCUGAUCCGGCUCCAGCUCCUGUUCCAGCUCUUCCAGCGCCACCAGUAAAUGGAUUCUGGGGUAUAAGCCCAUGCUUUGGUGGAAAUCCUACUGGUCCAACGCCUGGAAUGUACACUCUGCCAUCAUGCUUGAACAAGAACUCAGGCUCUUUCUUGUCCUGGGUGUUAGAGUUCAUGGCAAUGUUGCUUCGUCCAGCAACUGCGACAAGGAGGAUAUUGGAGAUGAGAAGGAGUGAGAGUAAAAGGGAAACUCUGUGAGCCAUUCUCUCUCAGAUAACAAGUGCAAAGAGGUUAUCAGUGAUGUGUAUUCUGGUAUUCAACAACUUUUGAGUUGAAGAAGCUAGAAGGGGGUGACUGCAUUAUAUAGUUCUAGAUUCUGCAGUAUUGAGUGAACUUUGGCGGUGAGUAAAGUGUUUCUUGAGGAAAUGUCGCUGGCAGGGUCGUGGUUCAUGAAUCAUGAUGCAUGCUAGUAAAUCAUUUGUUCAGCCUCAGUUUAUUAUUACCAUUUGUAGAAGAUAUUCACCAAAGUUGUAUCGGCUACUAAAUGCAGCCUUCACAUGGCUGAUUUAUGCACCGUAAUAUGUAGAAAUCUUGGGAUUGCUUCUACCUACAUUCUAGAUGUUUUAUUACUUUCACUUGCUAGUUGUUACUUGAGCAUUUUUUAAGCUGAAAGAGAAGUGGUAGUUAAUGCACUAUGUAGCGGCACUUUCAACAUGCCCUUUUCACACCGUAAAAUAUUUGUAGGCAUACCCAUUGUGCAGAUAUCCAACAGACAAGAUAUCCAGAGUGAGAAAGAAAGAAUUGAGAGAGAACUAACUAAUGUGAUAUACGAUGGAAUAAAAAGAUAGGAAGAGAAAUGAGAAAUCUGUUGGAUGUCUGUACUGUUUGUAUGUCUGACUAUCAUUCACAAUCCAGUGAAAAAGAACAAUUGUUUUUAAGGAAAACGUUACCAACACUCAUUUUUAACACUUUUUCAUUAAUGAUUGAAAUUAAUAUUGGUCCACUAAAAAUAUUGGUUCCCCAUCCAAUUCACAUAACUCAGAUUCUCUUCUUCAUUUUGCAUCUUCCUUCGUUUCCUGGGCUUGAACCAUCAUGGGCUUGGCCCAUUCACCAUUUAGCUGCCCCUUCCCUUGAACUCCACUAUAUUGGGAGUUCAAUUUUGUAUUUCCCACCACCUUAGAUCAUAUUUUGAAAUUGAAUUUAACGGUGCUCACUAGGGUGGGCACUUUGCAUUUUGGUCCACUGGUGGACUAGGGGAUAUUUUAGACUUUUUCGUUCCUUUCUUUCUCCCUUCCACUCUACCUUCCACACUACCUUGAGUACCAUCCUCAACAGAACAUGAAACGCCCUUUUACUCUGAUGAUUCUGAUUAUUAAGCUGCUUUAAUAUACUGGACAUUGAAAUUGAAAUUUCCAAUUUCCAUUACUUAUUAUUAUUUCUACUCCUCGAUCUCAAAUGAUUUCAAUCUCUGUAAUAUUUGUUUGUGUUAAAUUUCUAUAUAAACUAGAAAACAAAAGGAUCCAUGGAAAUGCAUGUUAGCUCACCCCUAUAUUAUAUCAAUUCUUCAGAUUUUUGUCAAACCCACACCCACACAUACAGAUCUGAAACAAAUGUAGUUUGCUCCUGAUUCUGGAAUUGGAUUGAUCGAUCCUUAUUUAAUUUCCGUUUUUUAACAGUGUUGCUGCUACUCCUCCUUUCAAGACCAGUGUUGAAAAUUGGUUCUGUCAAUCGAACCCAGAUCUGAAGAGUGGCGACACGGUGAACGCGUGGAUCGAGUUCGAUGGGUCCAUUCAGGGGUUGAAUGUUUGGGUCUCGUAUUCCAAUCUGAAACCGAAAGAUCCCAUUUUAUCGAUGAAUCUUGACAUGGGUCCGCUUCAACGCAUGAUAACAUGGAGACUCACCGGGUGGGUGGAGUGGUGGAGCUUCAACUCGUCAUUUGGUGGAACAGGUUUCUCAACAGCGUCGUCGCCGCCGCCGCUCCUUCUCCGGACCCGUCCGAAAAUACAUCGAAUGAGAUUUGGGAGCGGUUGAUGGGGUUGUCACUGCAGGGGCUUUCGUUUUGGCUCUGUUUGCAGGGUCGCUGUUUUGGGUUUAUUCUAAGAAGAUGAUGAAGCAAGUUAACCGUUCUGAUUCUCUUGGAUAACUGGUAUUAUGCAAGGCCAGCAAAGGCACACCCUCAAUGCACUUUCUCUGAACUAGUCACGCAAUACCCAUGACCAAAACAACCAGAAAAAAAGGGUCUUUUUACUUUUUUACCCUUUGAUCAUCCAUCAAAUCCUAGCCAUCUAAAUAAAGAAUAUUCCAAGAUUCUUAAAUCCAACGGUGUUUAAGUUUGGUCCACCGGUGGACCAAAAUGCAAAGUGCCCACCCUAGUGGGCACCGAGUUUAACUCCUACCUUAUCUCUAGAAACCCUAACAUGCGAAUUAUCAAGUGUGAUCUCCUUGUGGCUUCUUCUCACUUUGCUUAUCAAUCUUCUACAUGAUGAUUGUGGUUUAACCAUCCAUCACUCUUUUCUCCUUCCAUCUUUGUAUUUUCUUCUUCCAAAAAUUCAUCUCAUUUUCUAUUUCCUUUCUUUCUUUUCAUUUUUUUCCCACUUUUCUUCUACAUACCAAACAUACUUAUACAUGGUUUGUUUAUAAGGAAAAUGAGUGGAAUCAAAAGGGGAGGAAGAGAUUAUGAAUGGAAAAGUGUGUAUUCCAUGGUUGGGAUAAGUUGAAAAGGGUGGGGGAUGAAUAGAAAUAAUGUUUUGUUCAUAUUUCUUAUCAUCUCCAGCUUCAAUCUACAUUUGACAAUCCGGCAAAAAAUUUCUUGUCCAAAUUUUAAUUUCUAUAUUGGAUACAUUGAAUUGAAGUUUGCAAGUAACACUAAAACAAAACAUACACAAACAUUAUCGUUGUGUUUGCACUAACGCUCAAAAUAAACAACUUUCUUAACAGAGUGUAAGCAAAAUAUAUUAGGAACAAUUUUUUUCUCACUAGAAAACCGAAAAAGUAAAAAACAAAAAUGAGAUGGUCGAAAAGUGUAAGCAUAUAUGAUUGAAGUUGCAGGGCUCACAUCACAAAUAAUAACCGAAUCUCAUCAAUGAAUGUGAUGAGUUGAAGUUCAAGAAGACAGGUCACUCAAGUUGUCGUUGAAUGUUUAUAUCAUCAAAAACUAAUAAUAUAACUUGGAUAAAUUUUUUUUAAAAAAAUUAGUGCAAUUUAUUUAAUAUUCAUUUACAAGUGAAGAGCUUUGAUAUAUAUUUUUUAUCAUAAAUUCUUAUAUAUUAAAUUUUUAUAAUUUAUUCAUUUGUAUUUUAAAUAAUGAACUGAAUAGGGGAAAAGAACUCUUCCAUUUUAGAAUGUUACGGAAAGAACGCCAAAAUAUUUAAUAGUUUUAUUAAAUAAAAUCAAUACAUUUGACAUAAUUGACAUAAUAUAACUAAUAACGUUCCUUUUACGUUAGUCUUUUCCGAUUGGGCCCCCAUGCAGCUUUUUUAUGGCUUAUCAUCAUUUAUCAUGAUUCAGUUUACUUUACAUAAAGCUUUCAAUUAUACAUUUCCUUAAUAAGUAAUUUCCAGUUCAUGAUAAAAUGUUCUAGAUUUAGUUGGAGAUAUAUAUUUCAGUAGUAAUGGCACUCUAUCACCAAACAUUCAAAUUUGUUGGGAUUCAACAUUACCGGUAAAUCGUAUCCUUGCCAUUUUCCAUUUCAAAAAAAAUAAACAUUACCGGUAAGAAGAAGAGAAUGAAUAUUCCAUGAGCAUGGCAUACUAUAUAUAUAUAUAUGUUAAUUGUCAAAUUAUUCUUUGAAUUUAUAAGUGAGUUUGAUUUUAAACCCUCUUAGGAAAAAUGACGUUUAGUAACGGUCAAAAACCGUCAUUAAUUGUAAAAAUGACCACCCCUAAACGUUUUUUUCCUCAUAGAGACUAAACUAAAAUUAAACUCGCUUAUAAAGUCAGGGACUAAUUUGACCAUUAAUCAUAUAUAUAUAUAUGUGUGUGAGAGAGGGGGGGGGAAUCAACUUAGGGUCCGUUUUGAAACGAACCAAAAAGCACUUAUUCGAACUCUGCUCUCUGACAGUGACCAAAACCAAACUGGCUACAAUCGUGGGGAUGGGGACCAAGUUAUUUUCCGGGAAGAGACUAAAAUCAAAUUCUCUUACAAACAAGUGAUUAAUUUAAUGAUUAAACCUUAAUUUAAUUACUAAAAAAAUGAAUUAUUAAUCGCAAAAGUUUAAAAAUAAAAUUAUAUUAUUAUAAAUACAGUAUCCAACACAAACUUAGAAGGACUUUUAGGCUAAUGAAACAAUUUGUUCCUUCUACUUCUUCUGCAUUCAAACUCAAACAAUGGACUUUAGCUUACUUGCUGGAAUACUUUAGUGUUUGCUUGAUUUUCAAUUGAAAACCAUCCCCAAUUUAUGUUUAGCAAAGACAAGAAUUUUCCCUUGAAAAAUGUUGCAUUAUAUCUCAAGAUUACCUUUGCAAGAAUGCAAUCUGAUACAGAUAAACAUCUCAAUGCCUGUUAUCACCGCCUUGCAUUAUGCUGAAACACUUACAUUUUGUGACCUUAACUAAGCAUUAGUUUUCUACAAGUACUUUUAGUAAACAAAAGAGCAUCAAAAUGAUACCACUUCCACAAAAUUCUACUAUCUUGAAAUCACUGUUGCACCAGGUAUUAACAAUAAUCUAUCAUGAAUUUGGCCUUUCCUCAGAAAAUCUAGGAAGUUGAACAAGCGAGUUUACCCGAGUUACCCCCUCCAAACCUGACCAGUUUUGAUCAUCAGCGUAUGAUGUUGCAUCUUCAACAUCGACAGGUACUGCUCCAUUAGUCUCAUCUUCUUCCGAGGAUCUCACUGUGAAGUUCCUCUGCAAACAUGGCUCUGAUUUUUGUCCAUCAUCUGACUCAAUUGGGUUGCCUGAAUGGUUGCUCUGGAUGGUUGCAGAAGAAAAGCCUUGUUCAUCAUAAUCUGAUUCUGAGUCCAUUUUCCCAUCCAGAAAUAAGCACACAACAGCACAGUCAUCCAUCCUUGAAGUUGGAUAUUUAAGUUUCCACUCCCGAGCAGCGGAAUUUACCACUGUUCUAGCUGCUGAUGCUCGCGUUGGGGAUGAAGAUACAAUCUCAACCACCUCCUCAUUGCUUAAAACAUCCCAGACCUGAACAAAGCAUUAAGAGAAUCAAUAUCAUUCAGUGGAAGAUGGAAACUCAAAAGUCGAUAUCCUCUAAGUUACGUCCACUUCCCUUAUACUUGCACAUUCAAAGAACUUACUAUUUUCUUUUCCAUAUUAGAUAUUUCAAUGAAUAGCAUUAUUAUGUAGCGGAAAUGUUUUUCUACGUAGAUUGUAUAUAAACAAAGUUACUUUACAGCUCUUGUGCCUUUCAAAUGAACGAAUUGGUAUAUGACCAACAUUUUUUGCAACACCUUUCACGUAGAAAAUAUUUUCUGCGUAGAUUGUAUAUAAGCCAAGUUAAUUUACAGCUCUACAUGAAAGGUGUUGCAAAAAAUGUAGGUCAUAUAAUGUUCAUGCUAAAACAAACUUAUCCCACGAAUGAAAAGAAGAUAACUCUAUUUGGCAACCCAAAGAGAGGCUCUUUGUUUAUCUUCCGUUCAACUCCUGAAAAAUCAGAUAUCAGCACUUCACUCUUGUACCCCAAAAGAAAAAAAGAUAAGAAUAAUUCAAUAACAGGCCAGAAUGAGAAAGCUUGCAUUAUGAACAGAAUUUAUAUAUUUCUUCAUAUUGAAGAGAGCUUAUUGCUUAAGAAAUACCGCCGUCUGAGUUGUCAGAAUGCCAGCUAAUUUAACUGUAAUGGUGCAGAUUGACAAACAGCCCGAGAAGUUACUGGUUCAGUCAAAUUGCUAAACACUCUAUUUCCACUCAAUGGUUAGUUUCGAAAAGACACUUCUCAGUUUCCUUAUGACCAUAUGGUUCAUGCUAUGCUAGCCUAGAUAUUUGCCUACACUGACCACAUUUUCUUAUUUCAAUAUCACAGCUCGACCUUGUAAGAUGAUUUCUUCAAGGCAGCAACAAAGCCAUAUUAACCAACAGAAACCAACCUUGAAAUUGCAGAUCAUGUAUGCUAAAAUUUCCUAGUCGGACAGGGAUAAAAAUCAUAACACAAUUUCUGAAAUGGCAAAGCAUAAUUAAACAAAGUACUAAAGAAAUUGAUAUGACAUUGAAAAUUCUUAAUCUUACCCCAUCUGAGGCAAUUACAAUGAAUUGAUCUCUGUCUGUAAGUUGCCGGUGAGAAAAUUCUGGUAUGGAAAUCACACCAUACUCCUUCAAGCAGAAAUCUCCAAAUGCUCUAGCCAUUGCUAACCCUGGUGCAUCAUCAAAAGGCAACCACACCCUCGGCACUUCUGGCUCAUCUUGUAAAGCAAAUACCCUACCUUUGCAUCGCUUAAUUCUUUCUGCUUCCCCUAUAAGAGUUUCCAUCCAAGUUGGUGUCAAUAUCAACAGAAAAGCAUAUAUUCAACAGAGAAUAAAUGACGAUGGCAUAAGACAUACUUGGCAAAUCAGGCUUCAAAUCAACAGUCAACUGAACUGCCACCAUGGAGUCAUUGCUGUCCUUGGAUCCCAUGAUUGCUCGAGAAUCCCCGAUACUGGCCAUGAACAGAUUUGAACCCUGUUGAGAUAAGAAAUUAUAAAAACUCAAUGUGUUUGGAUGGGGAUUUAAUUGAGAGAAUAAAUUUGUUGAGGGGAUUUUACAUUGCUUAAUCCAAAAUACAGGAUAUCAAAUCAGAGUAUCUUGAAAAUUAAGGUAAUUUUAUAGGGUAAUUUCCUAACUCAAAAUAAAAGAUUUAAAAUUCCAUCCUUUUUAGAAGGAAUUUUUGAAAAUCCCUUCCCUCAAACUCUCCUCCUUUACCCCUCACCCUCAACCUAUCAAAUAUUCUCCACCAAAUUUCUUAAUUCCUGACAAAAGACUCAAAAAAUGACAAUAAUCAAAAUAAACCAAGUUAUUAUUUUCUUGAAAUUUUGAAUUGUACAUCCAAACACAGUAAAGUUAUGGAAAACAAGAGUUCAGAUCUGCUACCUGCUUUAUUAUAGUCACGGCUGUGCUCCCACUACAGAAGCAGUCUAGAUUUGGAUGAGACCUGAGUUCUUUGUCCAUAGCCUUGUAUGCCUUCAUUAAAGCUUCUCUCCAUGUCGAGUUCAGUUUAUCCUCGGCAGAACAAUCAUUCUCAGACUCUCCACUGUCAGGUUUUAUGUUCCCUUUGAAGCAACCUUUACCCGACCCAUUUCUCUUUGAUUCACCAGAAUGCAAAAAUGAAAGCAGUUUCAAUGGCAAGGUAUCCCUCACUUUGCGUGCAACAAGAUGACCAUGUGGACCAUGGCCAUCAAAGACACCACAAAAGGUCAUAUCUUCAGACAUGAAAUCCUGCAAAGCACAGAUUCAAAUUAGUAUGUUAGUCACUCCUUCAAUCACUCAUGAGCAAUGCUCAUGCAUCACCCGUAAUAAGAUGAACAUACUUACUUCCCACACAAUCAUGGCGUCCUGAUUAAUACCCUUGCGGCCUUGCUGCGUGAAUAUGCAGGACCCGCGGCUCUUUC